rnacentral:lncRNA from 1 species
AGAUUCGUUGGGCAUGUCUAAAUUAUAAAGGUAAAAUAUAAUUUUACCCUUUUGUUUUAAAAUCAAAUUUCAGCACCUCUCUCUCUCCUCUUCCUUAUUCACUCCAGCGAUGACGACUCCCUCUUCUCUCUAUUGACGAUACGACGCCCUCUCUUUCUCCUAUUUCUUCUUCGCUCAAUCAAUGACGACGACACCCGCUCUCUCUCCUCUUCCUUAUUAGUCUCCAUCAACAAACCCUCUCUCUCAUCUUCCUUUUUUCACGCAAAGCUCUGUUUUUCAUCUGGUGAGGUAUGUGUUUUCUAGAUCAGAUUCUUAUUUCAAUUUUGUACAUCUGUUAGGCCAACCUAUAUGGAUCUAACAAUAGAUCCGUUAUUUCAAUUUUCUAGAUCAGAUUCUUCUCAAGCGAAGUUUCUGUAUCUAUUGAUUUAUUAAGACUAUAUGCAUCUAACAAUUCGUUUGGUCAGCCUUGUCAUUAGUGUGGGGUGAAAUAAUUUGGCUUUAAUUCACAUUUAUAAAUAAGUUUUGAACUCUGCUUGAUUGCCUGAAUGGAAGGUUUGGACAUACAUCCUUAAUUCUUGAUCAUUUUUCAUUUUCAUUAGUCUAACGUUCUAAUAUUGGUCUCAUAGAACUUUUGAGAUUGAAGAGAUUGCAAAUUGUAACAAUGUAGUUGGUAGGAAUUAAGCUAUUUUUUUAGGUGAAAAACUAUUGUUCCAUGUUCUAAAUUUUCCUCUUAGAAAAGCAUUAGUCUGAUUACAUAGAAUACUAUUUAAAGAUCCCAAUUACAUCACUGCAUGAAAAUUCCUCCUUGAGAGUGCCCUCUACACUUGUGUAACGGAAAUAUUGAACUAAUAUUAAAUUAUUAGUUCAACAUUAGGCAUUAUUCUUUGCUCCAUCAAGCUGCUUAUUUGAUUUGUCAUACAAUGUUGUUUCAUUCCUUUGCUUUGUGUAUGACAUGUUAGGUUGGCUCCUAUCAUUCAUCUUCGUUAUUGGUGGCUUCUAGACCUCCAACCCCUGGUGUUCUUAGUCGAGGGAUUGGUCUAGAAGGUCUUUCUAGUGUGUUGGCUGGUCUAUGGGGUACUGGAACAGGCUCCAUAAGUUUAACUGAAAAUGUGCACACACUAGCUGCCACUAAGAUGGGAAGCCGUAGAGCUGUUGAAUGGGCGCAUGCGUUUUGAUUGUCUUAUCCCUUGUCGGUAAGUGUUUGUUAAGCUUGUGUUUUUAAUUGCAACAAUGAGUCAAUAACAACAUAAAUAUGGUAUCUUCUAUCAUUUUUAGUGCAUGCUUUGAUCAUUUUGUUAUAGCAUGCUACUACUAGUAUUGAUACAAGUAUCUGUACGAUUACUAUUUCGACAUUAGUUUCUUUUAUGGUUGGGCAUACUAUAAUUUUAGUUUGAAUAUCUAAAAUGGCAAGUUUAUGCAUUUGGUUCUGGUUAUUUGAAGAUUGCAAUUGCUCAGAUUAUUUCUUUGUGGCUUGGGUAAUAUAUGCUCCGCAAUCUUCUUUAUUCAAUUUUUGGGAUUACCAUUUGCUUAUUCUCCAGUUAUUUGGCCUUCACUGGUUCUUGUGAAAUUUAAUUGUUUACAUAUGUUGUUUCUCUACUGCUGAAAAAUAUGCAUAAGGUUUGCCUAUUCAUUUUAAGAAGAGUUGGAGGCAUAUGAUGGUUGGGGAUUGUGAUUUCCAUGAAAUACUACUCUCCGAGCAUUUUUUGAUGAACUAUUUCUCUUGUUUUUUUGUUUUAUUUUUCUUCCUGAAGUAUACAAUAAUGCACAUGGGGUGGAAAAGAAUGAGGACCCUCAGUGGUUAGUUUUGCUCUUUCCUUGGCCUUCAACCUCACCAACUGUAGUGCAAUUUUUUUAUAAGAACACUGUAGUUUCUUGUUCCAUAUUUUGAUUUUAGAAUAAUUUUUCCAAGUCUAUGGGAAUGCUACAAUUGCUCAUCGACUUAAAUAUGUUUUAAACUUAGUUUUAGUACUUUGAUCAUGGCUUUGCAUUUUGGUUUCUUUUUACAUUUGAGCUUCUUUUUUUUUUUCAUAAACUGCAUUGCAGUUUCUAUUGCAAUUUUUUAUCAGAAACUGCGGUGCAGUUUUCUGUUCCAUAUUUCGAUUUUGCAAGUCUAUGGGAAUGUUACAACCACUCAUCGACUUAAAUGUGUUUUGAACUUAGUUUUAUUGAUCAUGGCUUUAACUUUUGGUUUCUUUGCAAAUUUGAGCAGAUGUUUUGUCAUAAAAUGCACUGCAGUUUUCGUUUGUUGUAAUUUUUGAUAGGAAACUGCAUUGCAAUUUCCUGUUCCAUAUUUCGAUUUUAAAUAAUUUUUCCAAGUCUAUGUGAAUGUUACAAUUACUUAUCUACUUGUAUGUGUUUUGAACUUAGUUUUAGUACUUUGAUCAUGACUUUGUCUUUUGGUUUCUUUUCACAUUUGAGCUCUUUUUUUUUAUUAUAAACUGAACUACAGUUUCCGUUAGUUGCAGUUUUUGAUAAGAAACUGCAUUGCAAUUUCCUAUUCCAUAUUUCAAUUUUAGAAUAAAUUUUUCAAGUCUAUGGGAAUGCUACAACUGCUCAUUGACUUAAAUAUGUUUUAAACUUAGUUUUAGUACUUUGAUCAUGACUUUGCCUUUUGUUUUCUUUGCAAAGUUGAGCAGAUGUUUUGUCAUAAACUGCACUGCAGUUUCCAUUUAUUGCAGUUUUUGAUCAGAAACUGCACUGCAGUUUCUUGUUUCAUAAUUCAAUUUGAGAAUAAUUUUUGCAAGUCUAUGGGAUUAUUACAACUGCUCGUCUAUUUAUAAAUGUUUUGAACUUAGUUUUAGUACUUUGAUCAUGAAUUUGCCUUUUUGAUUUCUUUUCACAUUUGAGCAGAUUUUUUUUUUCAUAAACUGCACUUGUAGUUUCUGUUUGUUGCAGUUCUUUUAUCAGAAACUGCAGUGCAAUUUCCUGUUCCAAUUUUGUUUGUUGUAUCCUGUUCUAAGAUUAUAUAACAAUCAACAAUUUUUUUUUUUUGUAGUUGGUUUUUUGUUUGUUUUUUUUUUUUUAACAUAAUUGAUAUCUACAUUGUAUUUUUGUUGCAGUUUCUAUUUUUAUUUGCAAUUUUUGUGUAAAUAAGUGUUGAAAUGAUUUUUUUAAUUUAAAAAAACUGUUAAUUGUUAUAUAAAUAUUGUAUCAAGGUUCGAGUCCCUUUAAUGACAUAAAAUCUUUUUUUUUAAAGGUGAAUAAAGGGCAACGGAGUUGGUCCCCUACAGGCGGUGGUGCCCGGCUGUGGCGGGUGCCCGGCGGUGGUGGCCGGCGACAGGUGACCGGCAUUGGCUGACGUCGACGGUGACCAGGGGUGAUGACCGGUGGUCGGCAAUGAUGACCGGCGACCGAUGGCCGGCGGUGGUGGUGGCUAGAUAUGGACAUGUGGCAUAGUAUGCAUGUCUUAGAAUGAGUGGCAUUGUGUGUAAUUUUGAUAUUUUUUAAUGAUAUUUUUGUAAAAUUAGGUACUAUAUUUGG